UUACAUCGUAUUCAACUGUUAGGGAUAGAUCCAUUAGAGAUAGGUACGUGGAUGCUUAUCCAAUUACAAGUGCUUUUAGCAUUUUUAAAGGUGUUUAAACUAGUCGAGGGCCUUCAAUCAAAGUAUUGGGAGUUGAUUCUGUUACAUUAUGUGCUUUGACACUAUUUGAUAAUUUCUAAUUCUUUGUGAAUUUUGGAAAACCCGUUGUUUGGAUUCAUGUAUCUGUAUUGGUAUCGUGAAUGAGGAUGAGUAUUUUUGUGUUGGAGAAAGUUUGGUUCUUGUUGAAAAGUUUGAACUUUUCAUUGCAGGCAAGUAUAUUUUUUUAGGUGGAGAAAUUUUGAAAUUUCGUUCAUUGCAUUGAAAUUUGCGUUAAGGUGGAGAUUGUUAGAUUUUAUUUUUUUUUUUAUCCAAAUUAGGUUGGAUUUUUUUGGAAAAAAAAUUGUUUCCUUUAUUACACGCUUUAUUAGAAAAAUAAUAUUUCCUUAUUCCAUGCGUUUAAAUUGAAAAAAAAUAUUAUUUCCUUUAUUCCACAUUAUUUUUUAUCUUAUUUCCAUCUUUGUGGUAUUUUUAGUGUUGGCCUGCACCCUAAUAAGUAUUAAACUCUUUUAACAAGUUUUGUAUUAUUGAAAUACAGAAUAAUUUUAUAGACAUAGUUAUUAUAUUUGUUUUCUCCAUAUUCGUCAAUUUAAUAAAAUACCCAAUUC
rnacentral:lncRNA from 1 species